rnacentral:rRNA from 1 species
GACGAACGCUGGCGGCGUGCUUAACACAUGCAAGUCGAACGGAAAGGCCCUGCUUUUUUGGGGUGCUCGAGUGGCGAACGGGUGAGUAACACGUGAGUAACCUGCCCUUGACUUUGGGAUAACUUCAGGCAACUGGGGCUAAUACCGGAUAGGAGCUCCUGCUGCAUGGUGGGGGUUGGAACGUUUCGGCGGUUGGGGAUGGACUCGCGGCUUAUCAGCUUGUUGGUGGGGUAGUGGCUUACCAAGGCUUUGACGGGUAGCCGGCCUGAGAGGGUGACCGGCCACAUUGGGACUGAGAUACGGCCCAGACUCCUACGGGAGGCAGCAGUGGGGAAUAUUGCACAAUGGGCGGAAGCCUGAUGCAGCAACGCCGCGUGCGGGAUGACGGCCUUCGGGUUGUAAGCCGCUUUCGCCUGUGACGAAGCGUGAGUGACGGUAAUGGGUAAAGAAGCACCGGCUAACUACGUG